rnacentral:rRNA from 1 species
UUGAACGCUGGCGGCAUGCUUUACACAUGCAAGUCGAACGGUAACAGGCCUUCGGGUGCUGCCGAGUGGCGAACGGGUGAGUAAUGCAUCGGAACGUGCCCAGAGGUGGGGGAUAACGCAGCGAAAGCUGUGCUAAUACCGCAUGUGAUCUGAGGAUGAAAGCGGGGGACCAGGCAGCAAUGUUUGGCCUCGCGCCUUUGGAGCGGCCGAUGUCAGAUUAGGUAGUUGGUGGGGUAAAGGCCUACCAAGCCGACGAUCUGUAGCUGGUCUGAGAGGACGACCAGCCACACUGGGACUGAGACACGGCCCAGACUCCUACGGGAGGCAGCAGUGGGGAAUGUUGGACAAUGGGCGCAAGCCUGAUCCAGCAAUGCCGCGUGCGGGAAGAAGGCCUUCGGGUUGUAAACCGCUUUUGUACGGAACGAAAAGGCUCUGGCUAAUACCUGGGGCUGAUGACGGUACCGUAAGAAUAAGCACCGGCUAACUACGUG